rnacentral:tRNA from 2 species
GGAAGUGUGGCCGAGUGGUUUAAGGCAGCAGUCUUGAAAACUGCCGAGGAUGCAAGUCCUCCGUGGGUUCGAAUCCGACCGCUUCCG